UACGAAGGGGGCGAGCGUUGUUCGGAUUUACUGGGCGUAAAGGGCGCGUAGGCGGCGCGAGAAGUCGAGUGUGAAAGCCCCGGGCUCAACCUCGGAACUGCCUUUGAUACUGGGGAUCUCGAGUCCGGGAGAGGUGAGUGGAACUGCGAGUGUAGAGGUGAAAUUCGUAGAUAUUCGCAAGAACACCAGUGGCGAAGGCGGCUCACUGGCCCGGAACUGACGCUGAGGUGCGGAAAGCGUGGGGAGCAAACAGGG
rnacentral:rRNA from 1 species